UGCCUGUGUAUCGGUUUUCCUCACCCC
rnacentral:piRNA from 1 species